rnacentral:rRNA from 1 species
CACGUAGGGCGCAAGCGUUGUCCGGAAUUAUUGGGCGUAAAGAGCUCGUAGGCGGUCUGUUGCGUCUGCUGUGAAAACUCGGGGCUUAACCCCGAGCCUGCAGUGGAUACGGGCAGACUAGAGGUAGGUAGGGGAGAAUGGAAUUCCCGGUGUAGCGGUGAAAUGCGCAGAUAUCGGGAGGAACACCGGUGGCGAAGGCGGUUCUCUGGGCCCUACCUGACGCUGAGGAGCGAAAGCGUGGGGAGCAAACAGGG